UACAGAGGAGGCAAGCGUUGUUCGGAAUUACUGGGCGUAAAGGGCGCGUAGGCGGUUCGUUAAGUCCUGUGUGAAAUCCCCCGGCUCAACUGGGGAACUGCACAGGAAACUAGCGGGCUUGAGUUCGGGAGAGGGAAGCGGAAUUCCGGGUGUAGCGGUGAAAUGCGUAGAUAUCCGGAGGAACACCGGUGGCGAAGGCGGCUUCCUGGACCGACACUGACGCUGAGGCGCGAAAGCUAGGGGAGCAAACGGG
rnacentral:rRNA from 1 species